UAUCCUUGUAAGAUUUACUAUAUCAGUUAUAAAAUGUUUUUGCUUCUGUAUUCGUGACACAACACUAACUCGAAAUUGGUUCAGGUUUCAGAGGCUACUGAAAACACAUUGUCAGAGCUUACAAGUGACAUACUGGCUUGUGGAUACACUGGCACAAUUGCUGUGAGAAACAGCGACCGCAUUGUCAGGAGCCAGAUGCUGACUUCCUCCUAUCCUGCUUUGUGCCGGUUCUGAGUGGAAAGGGAACUUGUCGCUGGCAUCUUGAAUCUCAAAUCAUGAACCACAUGCAGGACUUCUUGAAGAGAUUGAGUCGACAGGUCAAACUGAUGGGAUGCAGCCAGAGGAUGAGAUGCAGGAAAACAAGUGUACAGGACCAAUGGAAGGCAAACGACAAUAUGAGCGAGUAACCAUCCCAUCCGUCAUGCAGUGGUUGAGCGGCCAAGCCCACGUGGUCUUACUACCAAGAGAAAGGAGAGAUUUUAUCAUCAAUGUCCUCUUUGAUCAUGACUGUCUUGUGUGCAUCCCUAGUUACAGUUUGUGUUUUCCUACAGUAAGUGCUUGCUCAAAAACUGUCACGUUACCAACUGCACACGAGAACCUAUGCAGAGUUUAAUCAUGUCUUCACACAGGCAAUUUGCUAUGGUGGGCAGGGGUUUCACAAUGUUUAAAAUGGUAAAUUGAGUCCAGUAGGUUACAGUAAAAUGGUUUGAGACAUGAAAGUGUUGUUAAAUUUAGCAAACUAAUCUGGUUACAUCCAUUGUUCCAAUGCUAGGUAACUUUAGCAUAGUAAGUUUUACUAUAAAUCAAGUAAUCCCUCGUGCUUAUCUUUUUUUCUUGCCAAAUGAAUCUCCAAUAGUAAUGACAAAAAUUCUACAAGUCU